rnacentral:rRNA from 1 species
UAUUAAUAAGCGGAAGAAGACAAACCAACUGGGAUUCUAUAAGUAAUGGCGAAUGAACAUAGAGAGGUCAUCAUUGAAUUCCUCCGCAUUGUGUGGAUGGGAAGUGUAAUGUUUGUGCGGUUUAUGCAUUGUGCCAGCAUGCUGUGUAAGUUUGAUUGAACGCGACAUGCCCGGAGAGGGUGAAAGGCCCGUUACGCUACUUGUCUGGUGUUCUGAUAACUGCGUUGGAGUAGGAUUGCUUGAGAGUGCAGUUCGAAUGCUGUGUGGCAAACCCCAUACAAACCUAAAUAUGGCUGCGAGACCGAUAGCGUACAAGUACCAUGAGGGAAAGUUGAAAAGCACUCUGAAAAGAGAGUUCAUAAGAGCGUGCAACUGUACUCUGCAAAGCGAAUGGUUGGGUGAUAUCAGCAAUUGUUAUUCAGACGUUUUGUGAAAGUUGUGAUGAUUGACUAUUUGCGAUCGUUGGGAUGUUAUGAAAUGUCGUAUUUGACAAUGCUGAAGGUUGCUCGGUGUGUUGAUGGUAGCGCGGUGUUGUGUUGGAAUAGACUAUCUUUCGAUAAAUCUAUGAGAACUACACCGUCGUGUCGAAAUAUUUUGACUGCUAACAUUGGCUCACUGUAAGAAAACGACUAGACUUGAUGAAACCACUUGCGUGCUGCAGGCUUAUUAGUCUGUUGACACGUUUGUGGAGAGCAUGUUCAAUGGUUCAGUAAGAGCAACAUCUUUACUAUGGACCAUUCGAACCGUCUUGAAACACGGACUAAGGAGUUCAACUCGAACGCGAGUCGUUUUUCGUAAUGAAAUUUAAAGGCAAAGGGAAGACGACUCUUUAUGAGAUGCGAACUGAUGCAUCUUAAUGUUGAUGGUAAGCACGAGUGAUGAGUGACACAUUUGAACUAGAUGAUCACUGCACCUGAGCGUUCAGGUUGAGACCCGAAAGAUGGUGAACUAUGCCUGAGUAGAAUGAAGCCAGGGGAAACUCUGGUGGAGGUUCGUAACGGUUUUGACGUGCAAAUCAAUCGUCAAACUUGGGUAUAGGGGCGAAAGACUAAUCGAACCAUCUAGUAGCUGGUUCCCUCCGAAGUUUCCCUCAGGAAAGCUGGUGUGCAAUUUAGUUUUACCUGGUAAAGCUAAUGAUUGGAGGAAUCGGAGCUGUAAUAACUUUGACCUACUCUCAAACUUAAAACGGGUAAGAAAUUCUUUGCUUCUUGAUUGAGCUGGAAUUGAGAAUGAAGCGCGCCAAGUGGGCCAUUUUUGGUAAGCAGAACUGGCGCUGUGGGAUGAACUGAACGUUGAGCUAAGGUGCCCGAUGCAUCUCUCAUCAGAUGCCAUAAAAGGUGUUAGUUGAUAUUGACAGCAGGACGGUGGCCAUGGAAGUUGGUAUCUGCUAAGGAGUGUGUAAUAACUCACCUGCCGAAUCAACUAGCCCUGAAAAUGGAUGGCGCUGUAGACAUGAACCUAUGCUCAACCGUUGGUAUUGUGACUGUCGAAGAAUUGAAUAUCGAUCAAUGUGUAGGAGGGCGAAGACGUUGGCUUCGAAGCGUGGAGUGUGAGCUCCCGUGAAGCUGGCGCUAGAGCAGAUCUUAGUGGCAG